UACGAAGGGGGCUAGCGUUGCUCGGAAUCACUGGGCGUAAAGGGUGCGUAGGCGGGUCUUUUAAGUCAGGGGUGAAAUCCUGGAGCUCAACUCCAGAACUGCCUUUGAUACUGGGAGCCUUGAGUUCGGGAGAGGUGAGUGGAACUGCGAGUGUAGAGGUGAAAUUCGUAGAUAUUCGCAAGAACACCAGUGGCGAAGGCGGCUCACUGGCCCGAUACUGACGCUGAGGUGCGAAAGCGUGGGGAGCAAACAGG
rnacentral:rRNA from 1 species